CCUACGGGGGGCAGCAGUGGGGAAUAUUGGGCAAUGGGCGCAAGCCUGACCCAGCGACGCCGCGUGAGGGAAGACGGUCUUCGGAUUGUAAACCUCUUUCAGCAGGGAAGACAAAAGGACGGUACCUGCAGAAGAAGCCACGGCUAACUACGUGCCAGCAGCCGCGGUAAUACGUAGGUGGCAAGCGUUAUCCGGAAUUACUGGGUGUAAAGGGUGUGUAGGCGGGUUUGCAAGUCAGAUGUGAAAAUUAUGGGCUCAACCCAUAACCUGCGUCUGAAACUACAGAUCUUGAGAGUGGGAGAGGUAAACGGAAUUCCCGGUGUAGCGGUGAAAUGCUUAGAUAUCACGAAGAACUCCGAUUGCGAAGGCAGCCUACUAAACUGCCACUGACAUUGAUGCUCGAAAGUGUGGGUAUCAAACAGGAUUAGAUACCCGAGUAGUC
rnacentral:rRNA from 1 species